ensembl:lncRNA
CACAGCCACAGCCACAGCCACCACUUGCCUCUCCUAGGACUGAACACACUGCUGAGUCAUCUGACCCCUGUUCAUCCUUUCUUCCUGUCUGGAGGCAAUGGGAGGCCAGAAAAGCAAAGGGAUUUUCUGGGUCCUGGCCCCAGCCCAGCCCUUCCCUUUCUGAGAAAAGCUGGGGGAAGGGGAACGAGUGUUCAGUCAGUUGCAUCAGAAUGCCUUGCACAAGACACUCUCCUGGAUAGACACAGCUCUGCCUCCAGCCUCUACCCCACCCUGCUGACCUUGGACCCCAGUGAGAACUGGCUGCGGGACCAGGCGGGACAGAAACUUCCAUCUACAGUGAGUUGCCAUAUGUGUGCUGUGAAUCCAACCUGGGUCCUCUUAACUGGAACCCUUCCAUGGAGCUUGUCCCCAGCCACCUCUGUUUUCCCACAAUUUCCACAGCACAGGCAGUUCUACAAACUUCCGAUCUUUGCCAAAUUGGAAAAAUGGAAGAAGCCACUCCCUCUUCCUGUCAUUCAACAUUUCUUUGGCUCCGGGAUUCCAGAAGUCUGGGCUAGGGAGAUAGCCCGUCCUUCCGUUAGAAGAUAAAAGACUCUGAGGCAGUCUGUCCUACCCUAAGCCGUGGAGCCAUGAGCAGAACCAAUAUGUGGAUACUGGUGUGUCUGGCAGGAAUGGAUAUCAUCUCCAUGGCAACUCCAAGCGUCAAGACUCCUGACUAUGCAGUCGGGGCAGUGAUAAAGGAGCUGAUCCUUGCUGAGUCACCUUCCACACCUACCCUACUCUCUGGACUCCGGCUUCACAUAUUUUGUUCUCACCCUUGAACCUGCCAAGCUCCCCCUGCCUUAGCGCCUCUGCCCUGUGGUCCUAUCUUUCUAGACCUCUCUUCCCAAGACCCACAUUCGAAGUAUACACCUUCCCCGCCCUCCCCCACCCCACCCCCGUCUCUCACGGUUUGGCCUGCUCUUUUAGGUGUUGAGUGUUGCCUGCCCCUCCUGCUAAUCUCUAAGACCCAUUUAUGCCUCACACAAGUCCAGGAGCUGAAGGUUUAGAAGAUGGAGUUGAAUGCAGUGCCUGGUGGAUCCUGAGUCUCCUGUAACUCCGAACUGUUGCUUGUCACCCUGUAAGCUCCAGUGGCCAUCGCUGUUGUAUCUGGAGGGAACAACCUCACCUGGCAGCUCCUGGAGAAGUAUGGGGUGGUGUGCCAAACAGGGAUGUUGGAGAAGCAGAAGGAGUGAGUGGAGCAGGCUGCCACAGCCGGAAAGAGGUCUCAGGCUGUUUUCUGUGGCUAUAACUGAACAAUAUAGACUGAGUUGUUUGCAAUGAGGAGAUUAUUGUGUGGUUUGGGCUUGGAGCCUGCGAAGUCUCAGGGCAUGGCACUGCACUGUGCUGUGUGGCUUUGGGGUAGGAACAUAACUUUUUUUGUUCCCACAUCACUUGGAGAGGGCCUCCACAGCAACAUGAGACACCUUUUACAACAAAGCCACUCUGCUGGAAGCCAAUAGCCCCUCCUCCCCCCAGUGUAUGGAAGGAUGAAUUUAUUCAGGAGGGCAGAAUCCUCAUAACACAAACAUGCCGCCUUCAAAUAAUACCAUUACCAUGUGCCUUGGGAGGGGGUUAAGUUUCCAAAACAUGACAUGAUCAUAGGCCCGGAAGUGGGUGUUAUGCCUCAAGUUUUGGGGAGUUGGGGACAGGAGAGAUGGUCUGGUGAUAAUAAACAUCUGUUGCUCUCCCAGAGGACCAGAGCUUAGAUCCCAGCAUCCAUAUCAUUAGAUGGCCCGGCUGCCUAUAGCUCUGGGGUAGCCACGUGCUCAUGCAUAUCCACACAAGCUGACACACAUAUCCACAUAAAUAAAAAUAAGAAUCUUAGAUUUGAAACUGGGGCUCAGAGAGUGAUAAACCUAAGACCACCAUGUUGGUCAUUGUGCUUCCAAAGCUACCAACACACAUCAAGGAGUGAUGUCAUAUGCCUGUAAUCCAGUACUUGGGAGGUAGAGGCAGGAGGGUUAUCCUGGGCUACACAGUGAGUCCAGCCUGGGUUACAAUAGAGUCCGUGCAGACAAAUGAAAGCACCUAGAACAGUGUCUGUAGACUGAAUGAGCAAUUUACAUUUUCACAUCUAAGCACUGAAGGUUUUGUCAGGGCUUAGAAUUUGGGGAUGUACCUGGGAGCAUCCCAAGUAUGUGGGCCAGAGCUGUAGCCAGGCUUCCUGUGUUUCCCCUGCGUCUGAGUCUCCUGGUGAAGAAAUCCAUGUUGACAGGGUCAGGAAUCUCUGAGCUGGGUGGUCUUUUCCACACAGCGUCCCCCCUCCACCUCCAGUCCUCUGGAGUAUAUGCUGAGGAAGCCUUUGUCCUGUAGCUGAAAGAAGCUUUGCAUAGGUACGAGGCCUAACUUGCGGCAGUAGGGGCAGGACAGGAACAAAGACGGAGGCCUGGGAGGGAGAUGCCCAGGCUGUGCUCUUGGGAUACAUGCUGUAGCUGACAUCUGGCUGGGCAGGCACAUGUGCAGGCAUAUGUGCACACACAAACCCACCUCCUGCCCUUCCACAUAAGUCACACUCGUGUUCACAGGCCUUGGGUCAGUCCAUAUUCCAGGAGUCCUCUUAGUCCCCAGGCUGCGGCAGGAUCAGGUCAAGUGGUACACUCAGUACUCAGUGCCCAAUCUGAGCCACCUAAAAUAGCUAAAUCUCUCUCUCUCUCUCUCUCUCUCUCUCUCUCUCUCUCUCUCUCUCUCUCUCUCUCUCUGUGUGUGUGUGUGUGUGUGUGUGUGUGUAGAAGGAGUUUCACUACUGUAGCCUUGACUGGCCUGGAACUCACUAUGUAGACCAGACUGGCUUUGAACUCAUAGAGAUCUGCCUGCCUCCACUUCUGGACCGCUGGAAUUAAAGGUGUGAGCCAUCAUACUUGGGUCACUUAUGAUUUCUGAAAAUGCUACCUAGUGUGGCUACUCUUGAACCUAUAAUCCCAGCAUUUGAGAAGAUGAGGCAGAAUGAUCUCCAGGAGCUCCAGGGCAGCCUGGGCAACAUAAGGAUACCUCAGCUCUUACAACAACAAAAGGUUUGUGAAAAAAAUGAAUCUGUGCUUCCCCCUGUUCUUUUCUCUGUCCCUUCCCACUGGCCUUCCUUCACUAGCUGGCCUCCUGGGACCAGUGAAAUGCUCCCUACCUGUAAGCCCUCCCUCCCUCCCUCCACUCACACUCACACUCACACACCUGCUUAGUGUAUGUAUGACCAGAUGCCAAGUCUGGCUGGCGGCUCCUCCCCUGCCAAACCAGCUCAGGUCUGGCCCUUGCCCAGGUGUACACCCCAAGGACAUCCUGUUUUUCUCUCUGCCCUGAGCACAUGUCCCAGAUUGGAUGCUUAUGAAAUCCUCUGAGUUCUUCCCUCACCAGGUCCCUGAUGGCCUGGUGCCCAGAGCUUGGCUUUGGUGAGGCUGGGACAGGAAGCUUCCAACACUGCUGACAACAAUCCUGCCUGAGAAGUAGUUACUGGUCCUAUCACCAUGCAGGACCAGGGAGUGCACCUGUGAACACAGGCUCACAGGAGGAUGUGACACACCCAAGGUCACAGGGAGUGUCAGCUUGGGAACCUAGCCAUGGCACAUCUGCACACUGUGAAGCAGUGGGGACACCACUGCUGAUGGGCCCCGGGCUCCGGUCACCGCCAUUUGCAGGUGGGGUGGCAUCAGCCAAAGCCACUUUACUUCAUACAGUAAGUGCUCAAUAAAUGUAGCUACUAGAAAAAAAAAAACAAAACAAAACCAAGGUAGCGGAGCAAGACUAAAUGCACUAAAUUGACUGUGUCAG